rfam:Asian citrus Psyllid, Diaphorina citri - Florida Strain, whole genome shotgun sequence.
GCCUAGUUAGCUUGGUGGGUAGAGCGUCUACCUUGUAAGCGCUAGGUCAUGGGUUCGAUUCCCACCCAGGGCG